ACCCAGUGCCAGAACAUCUAUUCCAAGCUUACACUGUGACAUUCUUUAAAUUUACUUACGCUGCCCUGGCAUCUAGGCCCUCCUAGAUUCUCUGCAGUCAGAGUGACUUGCUCAGCCAUCAUGAAAGAAGGUUCCUCCUGCAGCGGAUGGGAACAAAUACAGAGACCCACAGCCAGACAUGCAGAGAAUAGGAGAUCCUAGAACAUGGAACCCUAACUGGGGUGUCUCUAUGAAAUCCCUCCUCUCAGGGCUCAGGGAACCCUGUGGAAGAGGAGGCAGAAAGAAUAUAAGAUCCGAAGGGGAUGGAGGACACCAAAGAAAACAAGGCCCUCUGAAUCAACAUGAUCAAAGCUUAUAUGAACUCACAGAGACUGAAGCAGCAUGCACUGGAUGAACAGGAGUCUGCACCAGUUCCCUGAGCAGCUGGUCUGAAUGUCAUAGCACCCUCAUCUGUUCCAUGAGAGCCCAAAUGCCUUCUUGAGAACUAUGAAAAUAGCAGCUGAGAACAAGAGGAAGAAAGCUGCUCAGUGUUUUACAGCAUUAGCUCGAAGCGGAGAGAUUGCACCCAUUGGGAGUCUCAGAAGUUACAUCCAUAAAGUCUCACCAGCAUGAUUGCCAAAACAUGAGCUGAACAAAGACAACACCAAUAGACAUGGCAGUGUGGACAGGGGAAAGAUUGUGAGACCUCAACCCGACAGAAAGAACUACUGGCAACUACGGAACGCGUGUGAAGCGAAAGUGUUUCCAACUGUGGAUGGGGACAAGAGCUUGAAGAUGCAGUAGGAGGCGUGGAGGAAAGAAGGUGGCAUUGUGAAGGAAGAAGACCUCUUGGGGAAGCAGGCACAGGGCACCAAGAGCAGUUGUACUGUGGAAGGGGCUGGAUUUUGGCAAGAUAAAUGCGGCCUGGAUGAAAAUGGCGUGGGUUGUUGUUAAGAGGAGGUGUGGGAGGCUUGAAGAAAUGUUAGAGAUGGCUGCUGCGGAAAGCAAGAAGGCUGAAGGAGGAGGAAAGAAAAAAAACAGCAUCAGGCACCCAGUCUACGGUGAGUGCCAGGAACCAUGGCACCAACGCUUCUUUCUUCUCUUUCUUCCAGAAGUGUCCAAGACCUGAGCCAAGGUGAGGAGAGAGCAGGCAUGGUAGGCAUUUCUGGCUGUGUGUGAGUGGAAUGCAAUUGGAGAAGGCAGCUGGGAACCCUGGAGAGGUGGCUGUGCAACGGACCAGGCAUUUGUUCAGAAGUCUUUGUUCUUAUCAAAAACUAUCCUUAAAAGAGAACAAAUCGUCAUCUGCUCAUAUA